GCACAGGUUGACCCUCUAAACACAGGAUUCAUGGUGCUCCAUCUAUACAUUUCAAGAGUCAAGAUAAGAGGCAAACACAACUGCAAACAAAACGCAAAGUUAAAUAGCUUACGAGUUCCUAAGAUUCAACCCUGUUGUUGCUAUCAGAUUCCCAGAUUCCAUAACGGAAUUGCGGAAUAUUAAAUGAGGUUCCUUAUACUCCCCAAUGACAAAUGGAUGCUGCAACAGGU
rnacentral:misc_RNA from 1 species